UACGUAGGCGGAAAAUUAAGUCAGUAGUGAAAUCCUGCAGCUUAACUGUAGAACAGUUAUUGAUACUGGUUUUCUUGAAUAUAGUUGAGGUAGGCGGAAUGUGUAAUGUAGCGGUGAAAUGCUUAGAUAUUACACAGAACACCGAUUGCGAAGGCAGCUUACUAAGCUAUGAUUGACGCUGAGGUACGAAAGCGUGGGGAGCGAACAGGAUUAGAUACCCUGGUAGUCC
rnacentral:rRNA from 1 species